UACAGAGGGUGCGAGCGUUAAUCGGAAUUACUGGGCGUAAAGCGUGCGCAGGCGGUUCGUUAAGUUCGAUGUGAAAGCCCCGGGCUCAACCUGGGAACUGCAUUGGAAACUGGCGGGCUUGAGUGUGGCAGAGGGGGGUGGAAUUCCACGUGUAGCAGUGAAAUGCGUAGAGAUGUGGAGGAACACCGAUGGCGAAGGCAGCCCCCUGGGCUAACACUGACGCUCAGGCACGAAAGCGUGGGGAGCAAACAGG
rnacentral:rRNA from 1 species